GACGAACGCUGGCGGCGUGCUUAACACAUGCAAGUCGAACGGAAAGGCCCUGCUUUUGUGGGGUGCUCGAGUGGCGAACGGGUGAGUAACACGUGAGUAACCCGCCCCUGACUUUGGGAUAACUUCAGGAAACUGGGGCUAAAACCGGAUAGGAGCUCCUGCUGCACGGGGGGGGUUGGAAAGUUUCGGCGGUGGGGGAUGGACUCGCGGCUUAUCAGCUUGUUGGGGGGGUAGUGGCUUACCAAGUCUUUGACGGGUAGCCGGCCUGGGAGGGUGACCGGCCACAUUGGGACUGAGGUACGCCCCAGACUCCUACGUGAGGCAGCAGUCGGGAGUAUUGCGCAAUGGGCGGACGCCUGAUGCGGCAACGCCGCGUUCGUGAUGACGUCCUUCGGGUUGUAAACCGCUUUCGCCUGUGCCGAAGCGUGAGUGACGGUAAUGGGUAAAGAAGCACCGGCUAACUACGUG
rnacentral:rRNA from 1 species